UCGAUUCGAGUUUCUUUACAUCUUUCUCUUAUCGUUAGAAUUACGAACUUUAACGAAUGUACAAAUAUACGAGAUAGAUAAAGCGUGAGAGAGAGAGAGAGAGAGAGAGAGAAGGAGAACGAUAGGAAAAGAAACGUUUUCCACGCGACUAUUUCGAUUCCCAAAUGGAAAUGCUCAGGAGACUGGAAAGAGCUGCGUUCAAAAUGGUAUUAAUACACUUCGGGGCACAUAGAGACAAUCGGAUAGAUAACGUAGAAACGACGGUGACUGCCGGACGAGAUUAGGUCGUCUGCUUAGCUAGUAGAGAAACCAGAUUCGGUUACAUUUACACAUUUAUGGAAUAUCGAUUUCGAGUGGGUCUGCUGAAGAGGAAAAAAGGAGGAGGAAGAAUAAGAAGAAGAAGGACAAGAAAAAGCGAAGAAGGAGAGGAGUACAACGAAAGAAGAGAAACAGGAGGGAGGGAGGGAGAGAGAGAGAGAAAGUGCUGAGAGAAGAAAAAGAAGGAAAGUAUUCAUGUAUUCGUCGCUUUAGCAAAUUCAAGCCCCGAAGGCAGAUUGCGUCGAGAGAGGAUUGCUAUAAGAGAGAAAGAGAGAGGUGGGUGGGAAAAGGAGAGAGAGGGAGGGAGAGAGAGAGAGAGAGAGAGACUGCAAUUUCAAGGCAUUAUAAAUUUACUCGCGAUAAUGUUCGACAUCGAAUCGCCAAGGAUUCUUCGAUCGCAAAUAUAUUCUCGACAUAAUCGAAUUCGAGAGAGAGAGAGAGAGAGAGAGAGAGAGAGAGAGAGAGAGAGAGAGAGGGAGGGAGGAAGGAGGGAAGAGAAAAAGGAGGUGAACGCUUUUUAUCAUAAUUUUAUGUGUCUACACGAAAAAGAAAGAGGGAGGGUGAACUUUCGUCGAGUUUCGAAGUAACAAAAAUCGAAGGAACAAGUGAGCUAUCAUCACGUCGGGGAGUGGGUACUCGAAAAAGUGCUUGAUCGUUGAAAAUUUUUUGAAUUUUCUCGUAAAAUGGAAAUACAAAGAGAGACGAUAUUAUGCAAUGCGUAUGCAUCCACGUACAUACAUAGAUAGCUAUGUAAAGGCAUCUACCUUUAACUUUAUCUACCUACCUACCUACCUACCUACCUACCUACCUACCACCUACCUAUUUAUCUAUGUACGUGUGCGAAUAAGAAAAACGCAUAGAUGAGAUUAGAGAGAAGAUCGUACGGUGAUUCGUUCGUUCGCUCUAAAACUUGAGAACGACUAUGGAAUAAAAUAUGAUUCAUGCUCUGUUCUCAAGAUAAGACACGUAGGUAGGGGCGUAUACCCAGCUGCAGGCUUUGACAAAUCUCCGGUUAUAAUUCUUUUGCCAUUCUCACGGCCGGGAUUUCUUCUACCGGUUUUCGGUAUUUCGGGGGAUAGAAAAGUUCGCAGGUGCGGAAAGAUGAAAGCCGGAAAAGCGAAAUCAUCGAAGGAAUAUAUAUAUAUAUAUAUGGAGGAUUUUCGUUUAUCGCCAGGAUUCUAAUAAAUUUUUAUUAUACAAUCUAUCUACGUAACGUAACGUAAUAUAUAUAUAUAUAUAUAUAUAUAUAUAUAUGUGUGUGUGUGUGUGUGUGUAUAUAUAUAUAUAUCAAAAUUAUUUUCAUAUUAAAUAAAAUUAUUUAUUUUCUACGAUUAUGUUUGAUCACGUUAAUACGUCUUCUCUUCUCUUAUACGUACAAUCAUACAUACAUAAAUUAUAUUAUCUUUGAUAUUCCAUUAACCGAUUCGAUUGAUUAAACGUCGUCAACGUGUGACCAUGGAAAAAUCGUAAAUGCGUAAAAGAUCAAGAAGAUUAUGAUAUAAUAAUUUGAAAAGGCACGAUCGAUACAGAACGAGCAAGAAGGAAAAUUAUCACCGUGGAAAAAAAUAUCAUUCGUCCCUCGUGGAAGAGUUUUUCACGGAAAGGACGAAUACGAAAAGAGAGAGAAAGAGAGAGAGAGAAAAAAAAAGGAAAAAGAGGUAAUAGCAAAAGGGAUGAGAGUUAACAGGAAUCCCGGAGUUUCCUGUCAUCCUCUUCGUCUGACUUGCUGGCCAGCUUGCUCGAAAGACAAUAGUCCUUGGUACAAUGGUGGCACGUCGAACACGUGCCAUUGAAGGGUCGAAAUAGGAGAGGCUGCCAAGGAGGAAAACGACAGCCUCCAAUAUGUACCAGAUCUACACUUACACGUACCACCUAUCUACCUAGAUAUAACGGUGACUGGCCGUUACCAUGGAAAUGUGCGUGCAAAAUUUGUAUCCAUGACUGCGACCGCGGCUGCUGGGAAUUCGAGAAAAGCUCUCGUUGAAUUACGAGCCACUAAAGAGGCUCUGCGUGAGUCGUUUUCGCGUUCUCCGUGCAAUACUACCAGCAGCUACUAGCACCACCCACCAUCACCAACACCAUCAUCACCAUCACUAUCACCAUCACCACCAGUGGAAAACGGAGAAACGAAUUUUCUAAAGAAACGCGAGCCUGCAGGAAAAUGGAUAUGUCUCUCUUCUCGAGCAAACGUGCCCCGGGCAAGGUCGUUUCCAAAAGGUCUACUAAAACUGCGCUCCGACAUGCACGAUAUUUUAUUUCUUUUCUUUUAUAUUUGCUAUUUUUUUUUUGUUCUUUUUUUCCCGCUUUUUUUUCUUUGUCUUUCUCUCUUUCUCUCUCUCUCUCUCUCUCUCUCUCUCUCUCUCUCUUUCUCUUUCUCCCUUUCUUUCUUUCUUUUAUUCUGACGUCCGAACAAAUAUGAAAUAAACCGUUUCGUAGCGAAAAGAUUCUUACGAUAU